rnacentral:rRNA from 1 species
ACGGCUCAGUAACACGUGGACAACCUACCCUUCGGUGGGAGACAACCUCGGGAAACUGAGGCUAAUAUCCCAUAGGCGACAGAUUCUGGAAUUGACUGUCGCUUAAAGACCCGGCUUGUUCCAGCCGGAUUCGCCAAAGGAUGGGUCUGCGGUGGAUUAGGCUGAUGUUAGGGUAAUGGCCUAACAUACCUACAAUCCGUACCGGCUAUGAGAGUAGGAGCCGGGAGAUGGACACUGAGACAAAGGUCCAGGCUCUACGGAGCGCAGCAGGCGCGAAAACUCUGCAAUGCGCGCAAGCGUGACAGGGGAACUCCAAGUGUGUUUGUAAAACAAGCACUUUUGUAGUAUGUAAAAAGUACUGCGAAUAAGGGGUGGGCAAGACUAGUGCCAGCCUCCGCGGUAACACUAGCAACCCGAGUGGUAGUCGUUUUUAUUUGGCUUAAAGCGUCCGUAGUCGGACUAUUAAGUCCUCUGUGAAAUCCUACGGCUUAACCGUAGGGCUUGCAGAGGAUACUGUUAGUCUUGGAGCCGGGAGAGGUUGGGGGUAUUUCUGGGGUAGCGGCGAAAUGCUAUAAUCCUGGAAGGACCACCGAUUGCGAAGGCACCCAACUAGAACGGGCUCGACGAUGAGGGACGAGAGCUAGGGGAGCAAACCGGAUUAGAUACCCGGGUAGUCCUAGCCGUAAACGAUGCGGGCUGAGUGUCUCCUGAACCUCGAGUUCAGGAGGUGCUGAAGGGAAACCGUUAAGCCCGCCGCCUGGGGAGUACGGUCGCAAGGCUGAAACUUAAAGGAAUUGGCGGGGGAGCAC